CAGCAGCCGCCGCGGGAAUACGGAGGGUGCAAGCGUUAAUCGGAAUUACUGGGCGUAAAGCGCACGCAGGCGGUCUGACAAGUCAGAUGUGAAAUCCCCGGGCUUAACCUGGGAACUGCAUUUGAAACUGUCAGGCUGGAGUCUUGUAGAGGGGGGUAGAAUUCCAGGUGUAGCGGUGAAAUGCGUAGAGAUCUGGAGGAAUACCGGUGGCGAAGGCGGCCCCCUGGACAAAGACUGACGCUCAGGUGCGAAAGCGUGGGGAGCAAACAGGAUUAGAUACCCCAGUAGUCCCUGUCUCUUAUAC
rnacentral:rRNA from 1 species